UGGGGAAUAUUGCGCAAUGGGCGAAAGCCUGACGCAGCGACGCCGCGUGAGGGAUGAAGGUUUUCGGAUCGUAAACCUCUGUCAGAAGGGAAGAAACCGCACUGUGCUAAUCAGCAGUGCCUUGACGGUACCUUCAAAGGAAGCACCGGCUAACUCCGUGCCAGCAGCCGCGGUAAUACGGAGGGUGCAAGCGUUAAUCGGAAUUACUGGGCGUAAAGCGCACGUAGGCUGCUUUGUAAGUCAGGGGUGAAAUCCCACGGCUCAACCGUGGAACUGCCUUUGAUACUGCUUAGCUUGAAUCCGGGAGAGGGUAGCGGAAUUCCAGGUGUAGGAGUGAAAUCCGUAGAUAUCUGGAGGAACAUCAGUGGCGAAGGCGGCCACCUGGACCGGUAUUGACGCUGAGGUGCGAAAGCGUGGGGAGCAAACAGG
rnacentral:rRNA from 1 species